AUCGGAUGCCACUGAGUCUUUUGAGACUGACAUCUUCAGAACAACCGAGCAGACUCCUCAGAGGUCAUCCAGCUUCAAGACACAGGAGGACAAACAAUCGGAUGCCACUGAGUCUUUUGAGACUGACAUCUUCAGAACAACCGAGCAGACUCCUCAGAGGUCAUCCAGCUUCAAGACACAGGAGGACAAACAA